ensembl:lncRNA
CAACCACAUACUCUGAUAUUUGAGAUUUUUGUUUUUAACGUAUCAGACAAAACCAUUGUGAGAUUGAGAAUGGAAGCUGAAGCCUACACAAAGUCAGACUGGAAGAAAGGUGACAACUUUACCUUGAUAACAGCCCAUCACUGCAGGAAUAUCUCAUGUAUGGUUUCCCCAACAGUUAAUCUUUAAAUUUUUUAAAAUUUGAUUUCUUUAUAAAAGAUAGGCUUUUAUUUACUAUUUUAGUCUGGCCUGUACUAUGCAGGAAGCCAGAUUAAAUCAUCAUAAUAUUCCCUUCUAGCCUUAAUCUACAUAUGAUUAAAACAUAUUAUGUAGUUACCUGUCCAUAUAGAGAUGACCAUCUCCUCCCCACUCAAGUUGAUAUUUUCAAGCCACCAAAUGAAACUAGCCAAGACAAAGUGUGCUUGAUGAAACGGUGCUGCUGUGUGACAGUCAUGUGUCUGUGGGGAUGUCAGUGAGUAAAUCUUGAGGCUGAAAUCCUAAAGCACAAAAGAUACACAGCCAGCGUGGUGUCCCACAGGUGGGUGCAGGUGUGCCACACUCUGGAGGGGACAACCAACCCUUCAGGCCCUUCCUGUAUUCCACCAGUCCUCUGUGAAUAUUGGAGAUGAAAUUUUUGUACACUUUCACAGUAGCAAUCACUGUGAACCUGAGCUCAUUUUCACAAACAAAGCAUGCCCAAUCAACAGUCUCAUUUUUUUUUUCCUGCUUUAUGGAUGUUGAAGCAACAAUUUUGUGCAAAAGGUACAGGUGGGUUUUACGCUCCUGCUGGGCCCCAUGGUAGAGACUCACACAACAAAGGCUUGCAGGUGUUUCCUAUAUCUUUGUGGUUAUUUCUUUCAAACAGCAUCUGUUGAAAUGCAUCUUGCCUCCUGCUUAAAAAAGCCCAAUGCUUGGCAAUGCAGGGUGCUUGCCUUAGCUUUAACUGCCCACCCACACUGAACAUUUUAUGUUAUUUAGAUCGACCAGGGGCACAAUGAGAGCCUUUGACCAGCAAGACUUCCCUUCAGAGUGGGAGGCUCUGGAGGGGGAAAGGUGACCCAGAGAUGUGGUAACAUUUUUCACCUCCACUUCUCUUUCCAGUCGGGCAGCCCCGUCAUAGUUGGCACUGACCGCACUACCACCUGCUGCGUUCCAGCAGAAAUCCACACAAAACCUGGCUUGUCUUUGGGUAAUUGCACUUGUAAAGUAGAAGCAGCUCAUUUAAGCACUACACACGGCAUCUUAUUAAGCACCUCGUGAUACAUAAAAUUAAGACAACUGAAAGAAAAUUUCCGAAAAAGCCUUCUAUACGGUUUGUGACCACAGCUUGAUUUGUAUCUGGUGAAGUUUUCCUGGGUGAUGAGUCCAUAAUUCCCAUCACCUUUUGGAAAAAGUCUGAUUUAACUUUAUUUUGCUUCAAUAAUAACUACUAAUGUUGUGUUAACCAAUCAAAAGAGAACAAGUGGUCAAAGCAAGACCUAGAGAAACAGACCCAGAACACAUCUAACCUGAAGUAGAUGUAGGUUGAACAUGAUUUGGUUCUGAAUUCUCAGCAUGAGCUAUAAGUAAUUAUAACUAAAUCCCCUGGGCAAACUGAUCUACGUGUGGUGGCCCCAUUCAAUGCAGGGGAGUUGGACUAAAUGGCCCUUGGAGGUCCCUUCCAACUCUAAGGAGUCUAUGAUUCCAUGAUUAUGAUUCUAAUUCAGGCAUGCAAAGUGGUCUGGGAGGGAACUGGAUGUCAGGUGGUAGCACUGGGCAGUACAAUCUACCUCGAUCUGUGAAUUUCAUUGUAGGAAGAGCAUUAUGUUGUUUUGGUGUUUGUUUGUUUUCCUUAUUUUUUUUUUUAAUUUCUUUAUAGUUUCUUUUUCUUUAAGAUAUGAUUUAGAAACCACUGGGAGUUACUUGGAUGCUGCCUUCCAAAUUCAGUGCUUUUAUUUUUUAAUAUUGUAGUGGAAAUGCUAAGUCACAGCUUGAAGCAGUGAUUGAGCACCUGGUGGAAGGCAGGGCCAACUCAGGUGAGCUCAGGUGCAUGCAAUGCAGCUGAGUGAUCAGAAGGACUGGAGCCAGGAUCCACCCCUUCCCAGCCCUCAUUUAAGGGUUGGCAGUGGAGGCAAGGAUAUCUUCCUAGAGUUUUCUACCUACCUGAGUCUUUCCAAAGAGCUUUGUGAACAGAAUGUCUGGACCUGCAGAUGUUCACCCUCCCACGAGUGCUGGCCUCUACUGCAAAUUCUUGUUGCUGUCUUGUCCUUGGGAAGAGCCUUAGAUAUACAGGCUUAUCAUAGUGAUUUAAACACAGCUACCUGCGGAUGUGAUGGAUUUCCUUUAUUUGCAGUCUCCCAGUCAAGACUAGAUGGAUAUCUAAGAGGCAUGUUGUAGCUCAAACAGAGAGAGGUGCUUGGUGCAGAAAUUAUAGGGUCAGAUUCAAAGGCUGGUGUUGUGUGGGAGGUCAGGCAAGAGUCUGGACAGAAGAGACAGUAGAAAGUACGUCCAUUUCAUCAGACUGGAUGUGUUCAAAGGUGAUAACAGAAGCUGAAUGAACUUGGCUGCCACUGUCCCCGCCUACAGCCAAAGACUGAAUUUGGUGAUGGCCCUCCUUGAGUAGAGCCAAGUGGUGCUCCAUAGCCAAGACUGUCAGCCCAAAAGAGUUGCUGAUCAGCCUGGUCUCAUGUUCCAAGAAUGAAACCCUGGCAUGGAAGUGGCAUAUCUGCCAGUUAAUGUCAACAUUUGAUGUGCAGUCAGAGAGCAAACAAGGUUUCAUAUUGUGGUAAAAAGGGAAAUACUGUUUGCUUUAAUUCUAGUUUCUUUGUGUCAGAUGUAUUAAGAGUCUCAUAAAAUAGUGAAAGAAUUUCAUUCUUACUUACAAUUAUAAGAAGCAUAUAUAUAUAUAUAUACACACACAUAUACAUACACACACAAUAUACCUACUUCUACAAGUACAAACAAAAUGUAAAAUCUAGCUAGUAAUGAAUAGCUUGAAACAUCCUUUUCAGAAAACAUUAUAAUACAAGACUCCAGUGACUUUAUCUAACGCUCAGUUACUAAGACGGGGAAGAGAACACUUAACUGUGAAUGAGCUUCCCUAUAGCAAAAGGAAAGUGCUCCCAGACUGAAAAAUAGGCAGGGACAGACUAAGAUAUCAUGUAGAGUGGGUACAGCUUGCUGUCCAGCUCUCACCAGCCAUGUGUAUAUGACAGUUAAUCCAUGUGCUUUAUUGUCCUCCAGUCUUCUGGAUGAGAGAUCACAGGAGAUCACAUUUCAAACAGUGAUGUCCCAAGUGUGGGAAGAACAGAGCAAUGGGACUCUCACUGCUGUAGGAGGCAGUGCUCAGCACCACAGGAGAUAGUCCUGAGCUCCCAAGGACAAUAAUUAAUGACAACCAGCACUGGCACAGCACUUCUGUUGAGUCUCAGAGCAGAAACACCUGCAGCAUAUCCCACCCUGGCAGGGAAAUGGAGCUGGUGACCUAACAAUCUUUCCCACCUCUAACUUCUGGGGCUUUAUGAAUCGUCAGUCACACCUAGGUGUGAUAUCGCUAUAAAAUCCCAGUCACGUAAGAGAGCUGGCAGGAAGCUCUGGCUGUGCAACUCUGUGGUUUUAUGCUUAGCUGUGUUCUAAAUACUGAAAGAAUGAAGUAGACUUUCAAGCAUCAGCGUUGACAGUUGCUUUCAGAGAUAUUCAAACAAACAAAAUCCAGUCACCUAGACAGCAAAACCAGCUGCAGCUUGGGCUACAGCACAAACGUGACUUUUUGUUUUAAAAAGAAAGCCAUCACUAUCUAAAUGCCACCUGUGGUGUGGUGUGACUAAUACUGCUCUUCUUCAAGAGGUUGGCAAGGGCCUCUUUAUAGACUCAUAAAACCAUAGAAGCAUUUGGGUUGGAAAAGACCUUCAAGAUCAUUGAAGUCCAACCAUCAAACUCACCUACCAAGUGCCACCACCAAACCAUGUCCCUUAGUGCUGCAGAACAUCCCCAGAGGAAACAUGAGCACUGUGCCCAGCGCCAGCUCUGUACUUCACACAGAGGGUGGUGAUGCACUGAACAGGUUGCCCAAGGAGGCUAUGGAUGCCCCAUCCCUGGAGGCAUUCAAGGCCAGGCUGGAUGUGGCUCUGGGCAGCCUGGUCUGCUGGUUGGCGACCCUGCACACAGCAGGGGGUUGAAACUAGAUGAUCACUGUGGUCUUUUUCAACCCAGGCCAUUCUAUGAUCCUAUGAUUGACUAUGGACUAUGGGUGACAUCUACCUGUGAUUGCUGCCAUCUUAACACUAGGGCAGAGCUCAGUACAUUUCUCUACAUGGUGUGUUGCAAUAGGAAAGUUUCUUUCCUUCUCCUCCUCCAAAGUCCUGCAACGGGAAAAGAAAACAUGGGAAACCGUGUCUUCAAAUCAUACACCCAUACUUCAUCUCAUUGUAUAAUCAUCACAAAAAUCUGGUGGUGAGCUGUACUGUAUCUGUGUUUUGUCUGGAGGUUGGAAGUGGUUUUAACGAUUUAAAUCAUGGUAAAGAAAAGGGCCACUCAAAACACAGAGCUGGAAAGCAGAACCGCUUCGGUGUCUGCAGUAUUCUAAACUAGAUUUUGGUCCAGGUCCUGCUCCACUGUGUCCUCGUGUUGGGAAAGUAUAUUCAGAGCUGACAUGGCUUUCCCAGGUGUUUUCUACUGGGACAAAGUGCAGAGAAUGCAGUUAAUCACGAGUGCAUUCAAGUGUCCUAAGGUCUUUGGGUGAAAGCUGUUAGAGACAUUGAAAAAGUGUUUAAUAAUCACAGCCCCAUGUCCUCAGCACAGGCUUUUUGGGUUCACAAAAGUUCAAACACCUUUUAAGAAAUUUAGGCCAAAAUGUAAGCAGGCCAGAGCCAUGCAGCAGUUCCAAUGGCAACGGGGACAGCGCUUUGUUGAACCAUUUUCAGGAUCAUGACUACUGGGUAAGAUGCAUGCUGAGUGGUGCUGCUUUUAUAAACCACAGCAGGCACAAAGGUACUGUGUGCAGUUUCCUAUAGUUGACAUAAAGAUAUAUACAUUUUUCUUUUCAACAGUCUCACUUCUACACAGUUUCAAUUAGAAGUGCAUAUAACAACAAUCCCCAAGAAGAUUCAACAUUGGGUCUUUCAACUGACUGUCAACACAUCCUGUUCUUCCUCAUUUGCAAUACUUGUCCCUAAAAACAAACUGGACAUAAAAGCUUAAGUCUAUACUUAUGAAAUGCUUUUGGAUUAUGUAAAAACAUUGCAGAGGAUUUUAUUGCCUCUUGUUGUACUGGCUAAGAGUUACCCAAACCAUCCACAGAUGGAAGAAGAAGUGGUUAUCUGCAACUUCUGGAGUAGCUAGAAGGAAGGGGAGAUUGGCAUGGUUACUGCCUUGAAAACACACAGUCCUACACAGCAGUGGUGUUCUAAACUAUGGUUAUUUAACCAAAGGAGCUCAAAAUGAGUGGGAAAUACUUGUGUUCCACACAGCAUUAUUGUACACUACGUAUCAAAU